rnacentral:lncRNA from 1 species
AAAAAUAUUUAAUAAUUUGAUAUUACAUUUAUGUUAGUAUUUUUUUUUUAUUGUUAGGCAAAAUAAUAAGUACUAGAUUAGAUAUUAUUAUAAUAAUAAUAAACUUUAAAUAAUAUUUUUAUAAUUUCGUAUUUUCUCACUUUAGUACCUUAUAAUUUAACAUAUAUCACUUUUAUACUCUGUGAUUUUAUUAUUUUUUUUAUUUUUUUUUAUUAAUUUUUUUCGUUAAAUCAGUGACAAAGUUAAAACUAAAGGGUACUAAAAUGAAUAUUUGAUUAAACUAUAGAUACGAUAUCUAAAAUUUUUUGUAUAUGAUUUAACGAAAAGUUAAAAAAGGUGCUGACUAAAAAAGAAAAAAUAAAAUUAUAGAAUAUUAAAUUGAUAUAUUUUAAAGCGUAGAGUACUUAAAUGAGAACGUGCGAAAACACAUGUCUGGUAUUUGAAAUUUAUCCUAUAAUAAUUUAUGCAUAAUUUAAUAAAAUAUUUUAUAUUAUCAUAUUAUUAUUAUAUAUUAAUUUAUUAAUAUAACUUAUGAUGAAAUAACAGAGAGAGGCGUGUAGAGAGCUGGACCAAUGAAAAGCCCGAACAAAUCCUGACCCUUGGAUUUCGGAGGAGAUAAGAUUCCGAGAAUCCAUUGGUCAACGUGAUUGAUUCCGCGGUCGUCGCGUAGGGACGUACGCAUACAGAUUCUAUGCGGAUACAACAGGGGUGUCUAGCUCCGCUCGUGUUCGGCUUAUUUCAUAAACACGCCGAUAUCCGGCUGAUAAAUUAAAAUAUCAGAAAAUUCAGUUCAUAUUUAGCUCGUUUAUUAACAUAGCCGAAUUACAUAUAAUAUAUUAAAAAAUUAAAAGAAUAUAUAUAUAUAUAAUAAACUUAUGAGAUCUUAUCUGUUAAUUUUUGAUCUAAUUAUUAAAAUUUUACAAAUAAGUAGAUAUUUUUAUAAUUGAGUUGGGCUUUAUAUUUAGAUUGGACUAAAACGCAAAUAAUAAAAAUCCGCAUUAUAUAUAUAUAUAUAUAUAUAUAAUUAAUUUUAGUGUUAAAUAAUAAAUAUUUUUGAGAGUAUGUAUAUAAAAAAUAGGCUAAAUUACAUAAAACUCUUUUAUCAAAAUCCUAUUUUUCACUUACCCUCCAUAUUAUUUAAAAAUUUAUACUUUGCCAUCUUGUAAAAUAAAAAAUGUUCACUUCGUCCCCUACCGUUAGUAAUCCGUUAGGGUUCCGUUUAUAAAAUAUUAUUAUAUAUUUUUUUAUGCCAAAAAUACUUUCAGUCUUCUCUCCUGUAAAUAUGGUGAGAGACAAAAUGAUGAGGAACAAAAUGAUCAUUUUAUCAUCACAAUUCACACCGUAUCCUUCUGUGAAUAUUUUUUAUUUUAUAAAGAGAUAAAAUAUAGAUUUUUAAAUAACAGAAGGAAAAAGUAAAAAAUCGAGUUUUGACAGAAAAUUUUCUGUAAUUUAGCCUUUAUUUUAUUUUAUUUUAUUUUAUUUUAUAUCUUUAC